rnacentral:lncRNA from 1 species
CUGGAGACAAAUCUGAUAAUUAGAAAAAGCAGUGAAUAACAAAAUAUUUUUGACUCAUGCCAUAUCAGGCAGCCUCUGAGAAUUCCCAGAGGCAAGAAAACAGGGUUUAAUUCCCUGCAGCUUAUUGCAGUUUUAUGUUAGAGCAACGCCACUGAUUUCAGAGACAUUACUCUGGUGCAAUACUGGAGCUGGCAGGUGGCCAGGGAAAACACAUAUGCUGACCAGUCCAUAGCAAGGGUGGGAUAAACAUACUGACCAUCACACCAGGGAUGCCAUAUAGGGGAUUGUCAACUGGAUUUUCUCACUUUCCUACAUAUUAGUGACCAAUCAAUGCUGGAAAUGAAGGAGGAGGAGGAGGAGGAGGAUAAAGAGGAGGUGCUUUAGGCAGCAGACAAGAGAUAAGAGAUUCUUCUGCAGACUGGGAAAGAGACCACAGUGG